UACGUAGGUGGCAAGCGUUGUUCGGAAUUACUGGGCGUAAAGCGCGCGUAGGCGGCUCUUCAAGUCAGGCGUGAAAGCCCCGGGCUUAACUCGGGAACUGCGCUUGAUACUGUCGAGCUAGAGUGUGGAAGGGGCGAUUGGAAUUCCGUGUGUAGCGGUGAAAUGCGUAGAUAUACGGAGGAACACCAGUGGCGAAGGCGGCAUCCUGGACCGGUAUUGACGCUGAGGCGCGAAAGCCAGGGGAGCAAACGGG
rnacentral:rRNA from 1 species